UCCCUGAGGGUCCAGCGGUUAGGAUUCUGCACUUUCACUGCUGAGGUCCCAGGUUCAACCCCUGGUUGGGGAA